UUUUUUAAUUCAACAUCGAGGUCGUAAUCUUUCUUGUAGAUAUGAACUCUCAAAGAAAAUUACGCUGUUAUCCCUAAAGUAACUUAAUCUUACAAUCUUUAUUAAAGGAUCAUUUAUUUAUAUUUUGACUAUUAAUCAUUAAAAUAUUAAAAACAGUUACUUAUUAUAUUUUUAUCGCCCCAAUAAAAUAAAUUACACAAAAAAAAGUUUCAAUUAACUAAUAUCUUUUUUUUAUUUUACUUAUAAAGUUUUAUAGGGUCUUAUCGUCACUUUAAUUUAUUUAAGCCUUUUUACUUAAAAGUUAAAUUCAAUAAAUUUAAUUAAAGACAGUUUAUUUCUUGUGCGACCAUUCAUACAAGCCUUCAAUUAAAAGACUAAUGAUUAUGCUACCUUUGCACGGUCAAAAUACCGCCGCCCUUUAAANNNCAGUGGGCAGGCCANACU
rnacentral:rRNA from 1 species